rnacentral:rRNA from 1 species
UUUCCCUCAGGAUAGCUGGCACUCGUGCAAUCGAGUCUCAUCUGGUAAAGCGAAUGAUUAGAGGCCUUGGGGCCGAAACGACCUCAACCUAUUCUCAAACUUUAAAUGGGUGAGAUCUCUGGCUUGCUUGAAUAGUGAAGCCACGAGAUAUCGGAUCAGAGUGCCAAGUGGGCCAAUUUUGGUAAGCAGAACUGGCGCUGUGGGA